GACGAACGCUGGCGGCGUGCUUAACACAUGCAAGUCGAGCGGUAAGGCCCUUUCGGGGGUACACGAGCGGCGAACGGGUGAGUAACACGUGGGUGACCUGCCCUUAGCUCUGGGAUAAGCCUGGGAAACUGGGUCUAAUACCGGAUAUGACUCCAUGACGCAUGUUGUGGGGUGGAAAGCCUUGUGCGGCUAGGGAUGGGCCCGCGGCCUAUCAGCUUGUUGGUGGGGUGAUGGCCUACCAAGGCGACGACGGGUAGCCGGCCUGAGAGGGCGACCGGCCACACUGGGACUGAGACACGGCCCAGACUCCUACAGGAGGCAGCAGUGGGGAAUCUUGCGCAAUGGGCGAAAGCCUGACGCAGCGACGCGCGUGGGGAUGAC
rnacentral:rRNA from 1 species